CUCCAGAGACUUCGUCAGGCAGAUCUGGCAACCCAGUCGAGAUCUGCGGGGAAAGAAGUUUACUAGAGGAGCUCGAAACUGACGUGGGGAAACACAGCGAUGGAUGACGCGGUCCACUUUGACCAUCCUGCACCAUGACCGCACUAAGUAAAGCCCCCAGAAAAGCACCAAUGAGAAGCACAGCAAAGUAAAACCUGGAUGCUCCUUUAACAGCGCGCCCACUGAAGCUGAUGAUGGUGUAAGCGGAGGGGCUGUCCACUCCUUUGUCCCCGGAUGAUUAACUCUUACUAAUCUCGUGACCACAACAGAACUAUCUCAGCAGCAUCGCCAUCCCUCUCUUUAAAGGAUAAGACGGUAUUAUUUUUAUCAGCACAUUUCCAUAAAAAACAAUGCAUUUAUCCAGUUAACAGGUAUUGUCUGAGUGAAUGCGCUGCCACUCACAAAUGUUAAUAAUUUCGAUUAAAAAAGAAAAAUGCU